GGCCAAGUUUUUAAGGGCGCACGGUGGAUGCCUUGGCACCAGGAACCGAUGAAGGACGUGGGAGGCCACGAUAGGCCCCGGGGAGCUGUCAACCGAGCUUUGAUCCGGGGGUGUCCGAAUGGGGAAACCCGGCAGUCGUCAUGGGCUGUCACCCGCUGCUGAACACAUAGGCAGUGUGGAGGGAACGCGGGGAAGUGAAACAUCUCAGUACCCGCAGGAAGAGAAAACAACCGUGAUUCCGGGAGUAGUGGCGAGCGAAACUGGAUGAGGCCAAACCAGUCACGUGUGAUACCCGGCAGGGGUUGCGUGGUUGGGGUUGUGGGAUCUCUCUUUUGCAGUCUGCCGGCUGUGAGGCGAGUCAGAAACCGUUGAUGUAGGCGAAGGACAUGCGAAAGGUCCGGCGUAGAGGGUAAGACCCCCGUAGCUGAAACAUUAGCGGCUCGUUUGAGAGACACCCAAGUAGCACGGGGCCCGAGAAAUCCCGUGUGAAUCUGGCGGGACCACCCGUUAAGCCUAAAUAUUCCCUGGUGACCGAUAGCGGAUAGUACCGUGAGGGAAUGGUGAAAAGUACCGCGGGAGCGGAGUGAAAUAGUACCUGAAACCGUGUGCCUACAAGCCGUGGGAGCGUCGCGCAGAGAACUUGUUCUUUGCGUCGUGACUGCGUGCCUUUUGAAGAAUGAGCCUGCGAGUUUGCGGUAUGUUGCGAGGUUAACCCGUGUGGGGAAGCCGUAGCGAAAGCGAGUCCGAAUAGGGCGUGGAGUAGCAUGCUCAAGACCCGAAGCGGAGUGAUCUAGCCAUGGGCAGGUUGAAGCGGAGGUAAGACUUCGUGGAGGACCGAACCCACCAGGGUUGAAAACCUGGGGGAUGACCUGUGGUUAGGGGUGAAAGGCCAAUCAAACUCCGUGAUAGCUGGUUCUCCCCGAAAUGCAUUUAGGUGCAGCGUCGUGUGUUUCUUGCCGGAGGUAGAGCACUGGAUAGGCGAUGGGCCCUACCGGGUUACUGACCUUAGCCAAACUCCGAAUGCCGGUAAGUGAGAGCGCGGCAGUGAGACUGUGGGGGAUAAGCUCCAUGGUCGAGAGGGAAACAGCCCAGAGCAUCGACUAAGGCCCCUAAGCGUGUGCUAAGUGGGAAAGGAUGUGGAGUCGCAGAGACAACCAGGAGGUUGGCUUAGAAGCAGCCACCCUUGAAAGAGUGCGUAAUAGCUCACUGGUCAAGUGAUUCCGCGCCGACAAUGUAGCGGGGCUCAAGUACACCGCCGAAGUCGUGUCAUUGCGAUAUUACUCCUAACGGGGAUCGUGAUGGGUAGGGGAGCGUCGUGUGCCGGGUGAAGCAGCCGUGGAAACGAGUUGUGGACGGUUCACGAGUGAGAAUGCAGGCAUGAGUAGCGAUACAAGAGUGGGAAACUCUUGCGCCGAUUGACUAAGGGUUCCUGGGUCAAGCUGAUCUGCCCAGGGUAAGUCGGGACCUAAGGCGAGGCCGACAGGCGUAGUCGAUGGACAACCGGUUGAUAUUCCGGUACCCGCUUUGAAGCGCCCAAUACUGAAUCAGGCGAUGCUAAGUCCGUGAAGCCGCCCUGGAGCCUUCGGGCAAAGGGGAGUGGUGGAGCCGACGGACCAGACUUGUAGUAGGUAAGCGAUGGGGUGACGCAGGAAGGUAGUCCAGCCCGGGCGGUGGUUGUCCCGGGGUAAGGGUGUAGGCCGUGUGGUAGGUAAAUCCGUCGCACGUUAAGGCUGAGACCUGAUGCCGAGCCGAUUGUGGUGAAGUGGAUGAUCCUAUGCUGUCGAGAAAAGCCUCUAGUGAGUUUCAAGGCGGCCCGUACCCUAAACCGACUCAGGUGGUCAGGUAGAGAAUACCGAGGCGUUCGGGUGAACUAUGGUUAAGGAACUCGGCAAAAUGCCCCCGUAACUUCGGGAGAAGGGGGGCCAUUUCUGGUGAGGGAACUUGCUUCCUGAGCUGGGGGUGGCCGCAGAGACCAGCGAGAAGCGACUGUUUACUAAAAACACAGGUCCGUGCGAAGCCGUAAGGCGAUGUAUACGGACUGACGCCUGCCCGGUGCUGGAACGUUAAGGGGACCGGUUAGCUUGGAUUCGUUCAGGCGAAGCUGAGAACUUAAGCGCCAGUAAACGGCGGUGGUAACUAUAACCAUCCUAAGGUAGCGAAAUUCCUUGUCGGGUAAGUUCCGACCUGCACGAAUGGCGUAACGACUUCUCGACUGUCUCAACCAUAGGCCCGGUGAAAUUGCAUUACGAGUAAAGAUGCUCGUUUCGCGCAGCAGGACGGAAAGACCCCGGGACCUUUACUAUAGCUUGAUAUUGGUGUUCGGUUCGGCUUGUGUAGGAUAGGUGGGAGACUGUGAAGCGCCAACGCCAGUUGGUGUGGAGUCGUUGUUGAAAUACCACUCUGGUCGUGCUGGAUGUCUAACCUGGGUCCGUGAUCCGGAUCAGGGACAGUGUCUGGUGGGUAGUUUAACUGGGGCGGUUGCCUCCUAAAGAGUAACGGAGGCGCCCAAAGGUUCCCUCAGCCUGGUUGGUAAUCAGGUGUUGAGUGUAAGUGCACAAGGGAGCUUGACUGUGAGACUGACGGGUCGAGCAGGUACGAAAGUAGGGACUAGUGAUCCGGCGGUGGCUUGUGGAAGCGCCGUCGCUCAACGGAUAAAAGGUACCCCGGGGAUAACAGGCUGAUCUUCCCCAAGAGUCCAUAUCGACGGGAUGGUUUGGCACCUCGAUGUCGGCUCGUCGCAUCCUGGGGCUGGAGUCGGUCCCAAGGGUUGGGCUGUUCGCCCAUUAAAGCGGUACGCGAGCUGGGUUUAGAACGUCGUGAGACAGUUCGGUCCCUAUCCGCUGUGCGCGUAGGAGUCUUGAGAAGGGCUGUCCCUAGUACGAGAGGACCGGGACGGACGAACCUCUGGUGUGCCAGUUGUUCUGCCAAGGGCAUGGCUGGUUGGCUACGUUCGGAAAGGAUAACCGCUGAAAGCAUCUAAGCGGGAAGCCUGCUUCGAGAUGAGGGCUCCCUCCUCCUUGAGAGGGUAAGGCUCCCAGUAGACGACUGGGUUGAUAGGCCAGAUAUGGAAGCACUGUAAGGUGUGGAGUUGACUGGUACUAAUAGGCCGAGGGCUUGUCCUC
rfam:Streptomyces albulus strain NK660, complete genome.